AGGUCUUAGUGAUCCGGUGGUUCUGAAUGGAAGGGCCAUCGCUCAACGGAUAAAAGGUACUCCGGGGAUAACAGGCUGAUACCGCCCAAGAGUUCAUAUCGACGGCGGUGUUUGGCACCUCGAUGUCGGCUCAUCACAUCCUGGGGCUGAAGUAGGUCCCAAGGGUAUGGCUGUUCGCCAUUUAAAGUGGUACGCGAGCUGGGUUUAGAACGUCGUGAGACAGUUCGGUCCCUAUCUGCCGUGGGCG
rnacentral:rRNA from 1 species